rnacentral:rRNA from 1 species
CCUACGGGUGGCAGCAGUUAGGAAUAUUGGUCAAUGGACGUAAGCCUGAACCAGCCAAGUCGCGUGAGGGAUGAAGGUUCUAUGGAUCGUAAACCUCUUUUAUAAGGGAAUACAGUGUGGGACGUGUCCUGUUUUGUAUGUACCUUAUGAAUAAGGAUCGGCUAACUCCGUGCCAGCAGCCGCGGUAAUACGGAGGAUCCGAGCGUUGUCCGGAUUUAUUUGGUUUAAAGGGUGCGUAGGCGGCCUUUUAAGUCAGCGGUGAAAGUCUGUGGCUCAACCGUAGAAGGGCCGUUGAAACUGGGAGGCUUGAGUAUGUUAGAGGCAGGCGGAAUGCGUGGUGGAGCGGUGAAAUGCUUAGAUAUCACGCAGAACCCCGAUUGCGAAGGCAGCCUGCCAGGCCAUGACUGACGCUGAUGCACGAAAGCGUGGGGAUCAAACAGGAUUAGAUACCCCGGUAGUC